UCGGGAAUAUUGCGCAAUGGAGGAAACUCUGACGCAGUGACGCCGCGUGCAGGAAGAAGGUUUUUCGGAUUGUAAACUGCUUUAGACAGGGAAGAAACAAGACAGUACCUGUAGAAUAAGCUCCGGCUAACUACGUGCCAGCAGCCGCGGUAAUACGUAGGGAGCAAGCGUUAUCCGGAUUUAUUGGGUGUAAAGGGAGCGUAGACGGCAAUGCAAGUCUGAAGUGAAAGGACGGGGCUUAACCCUGUGACUGCUUUGGAAACUGUGUAGCUUGAGUGCCGGAGGGGUAAGCGGAAUUCCUAGUGUAGCGGUGAAAUGCGUAGAUAUUAGGAGGAACACCAGUGGCGAAGGCGGCUUACUGGACGGUAACUGACGUUGAGGCUCGAAAGCGUGGGGAG
rnacentral:rRNA from 1 species